UCGAGCGGAACGAGUUAUCUGAACCUUCGGGGGAACGAUAACGGCGUCCAGCGGCGGACGGGUGAGUAAUGCCUAGGAAAUUGCCUUGAUGUGGGGGAUAACCAUUGGAAACGAUGGCUAAUACCGCAUAAUGCCUACGGGCCAAAGAGGGGGACCUUCGGGCCUCUCGCGUCAAGAUAUGCCUAGGUGGGAUUAGCUAGUUGGUGAGGUAAUGGCUCACCAAGGCGACGAUCCCUAGCUGGUCUGAGAGGAUGAUCAGCCACACUGGAACUGAGACACGGUCCAGACUCCUACGGGAGGCAGCAGUGGGGAAUAUUGCACAAUGGGCGAAAGCCUGAUGCAGCCAUGCCGCGUGUAUGAAGAAGGCCUUCGGGUUGUAAAGUACUUUCAGUUGUGAGGAAGGGGGUGUCGUUAAUAGCGGCAUCUCUUGACGUUAGCAACAGAAGAAGCACCGGCUAACUCCGUGCCAGCAGCCGCGGUAAUACGGAGGGUGCGAGCGUUAAUCGGAAUUACUGGGCGUAAAGCGCAUGCAGGUGGUUCAUUAAGUCAGAUGUGAAAGCCCGGGGCUCAACCUCGGAACUGCAUUUGAAACUGGUGAACUAGAGUACUGUAGAGGGGGGUAGAAUUUCAGUGUAGCGGUGAAAUGCGUAGAGAUCUGAAAGGAAUACCAGUGGCGAAAGGCGGCCCCCUGGACAGAUACUGACACUCAGAUGCGAAAGCGUGGGGAGCAAACAGGAUUAGGAUACCCUGGGUAGUCC
rnacentral:rRNA from 2 species